AGAACAGUGAUUUUGUGAGCAUAAUGUAUAGAUUAGAUUUCAUGGCUUUUCUGAGAAGAACUUUGUUAUCCAAACACUUGAUGACAGGUCCACUUUAUGUAAAUAAGAAGUAGGUUAAAUAAGGCAAACUGUAUUGGCAAAUGGAAUACCUGUACCAUGUUAUAAUGUCAUUUAAUUUAAAAAAAAAUACAUAAACACUUAAG